GAUCAUUAACAUAUUCAGGUCGGGGGAGCCGGACCCAGCAAUGGGACUGGCCCCUCUGAAUAUUCUACCCAUGUCUUUUGCGUACUAUUUGUUUCCUUGGUGGGCUUGCCCGCCGAUAGGACAUUAUAAAACCUUUUGUAAUUGCAGUCAGCGUCAGAAAUAAUUUAAUAAUUAAAACUUUCAACAACGGAUCUCUUGGUUCUGGCAUCGAUGAAGAACGCAGCGAAAUGCGAUAAGUAGUGUGAAUUGCAGAAUUCAGUGAAUCAUCGAAUCUUUGAACGCACAUUGCGCCCCUUGGUAUUCCAUGGGGCAUGCCUGUUCGAGCGUCAUUUGUACCCUCAAGCUCUGCUUGGUGUUGGGUGUUUGUCCCGCGUUGCGUGUGGACUCGCCUUAAAACGAUUGGCAGCCGGCAUAUUGGCCUUGGAGCGCAGCACAAGUCGCGUACCUAGUCAUGAUUGUUGGCGUCCAUGAAGCCUAUACAUUUGCUCUUGACCUCGGAUCAGGUAGGGAUACCCGCUGAACUUAAGCAUAUCAAUAAGCGGAGGAAAAGAAACCAACAGGGAUUGCCCUAGUAACGGCGAGUGAAGCGGCAACAGCUCAAAUUUGAAAUCUGGCUCUUUCAGGGUCCGAGUUGUAAUUUGCAGAGGGCGCUUUGGCGUUGGCAGCGGUCCAAGUUCCUUGGAACAGGACGUCACAGAGGGUGAGAAUCCCGUACGUGGUCGCUAACCUUCGCCGUGUAAAGCCCCUUCGACGAGUCGAGUUGUUUGGGAAUGCAGCUCUAAAUGGGAGGUAAAUUUCUUCUAAAGCUAAAUACUGGCC
rnacentral:misc_RNA from 1 species